rnacentral:rRNA from 1 species
UACGUAGGGUGCAAGCGUUAAUCGGAAUUACCGGGCGUAAAGCGUGCGCAGGCGGUUUUGUAAGUCCGAUGUGAAAUCCCCGGGCUUAACCUGGGAACUGCGUUUGAAACUACAAGGCUAGAGUGUGGCAGAGGGGGGCGGAAUUCCACGUGUAGCAGUGAAAUGCGUAGAGAUGUGGAGGAACACCGAUGGCGAAGGCAGCCCCCUGGGCUAGCACUGACGCUCAGGCACGAAAGCGUGGGGAGCAAACAGG